UUAAAUUGAAGAGUUUGAUCAUGGCUCAGAUUGAACGCUGGCGGCAGGCCUAACACAUGCAAGUCGAACGGUAACAGGAAGCAGCUUGCUGCUUUGCUGACGAGUGGCGGACGGGUGAGUAAUGUCUGGGAAACUGCCCGAUGGAGGGGGAUAACUACUGGAAACGGUAGCUAAUACCGCAUAACGUCGCAAGACCAAAGAGGGGGACCUUCGGGCCUCUUGCCAUCGGAUGUGCCCAGAUGGGAUUAGCUAGUAGGUGGGGUAAAGGCUCACCUAGGCGACGAUCCCUAGCUGGUCUGAGAGGAUGACCAGCCACACUGGAACUGAGACACGGUCCAGACUCCUACGGGAGGCAGCMGUGGGGAAUAUUGCACAAUGGGCGCAAGCCUGAUGCCGCCAUKCMGCGUGUAUGCAKAAGGCCUKCGGGUUGCAAAG
rnacentral:rRNA from 1 species